CGGACGGGGCGAGUAAUGCUUGGGAAUCUAGCUUAUGAGGGGGAGUAACUACGGGAAACUGUAGCUAAUACCGCGUAAUAUCGAAAGAUUAAAGUGUGGGACCUUCGGGCCACAUGCCAUAAGAUGAGCCCAAGUGGGAUUAGGUAGUUGGUGAGGUAAAGGCUCACCAAGCCGACGAUCUCUAGCUGGUCUGAGAGGAUGACCAGCCACACUGGGACUGAGACACGGCCCAG
rnacentral:rRNA from 1 species